UAACAAUCUAUUUUUCUGACGGUUCAACUUUUAAUAUAAAAAGGGUGCCUUAACAACUCAUGUCAUAUGAUAAAGAAAGCAAAUUGUGCCUGGUGGAUAUCAUUGAUCAUCCCUCUCUUUUUUUCCUCUUUCUUUUCUGUUUUUGGGCAAAAUAGUGCCCAACAAUUUUUAUAAACUAUCAGUGAAGGAAAUUCCAGACUACCUACUAUCCAAUAAAGGCC
rnacentral:lncRNA from 1 species